AACUAAUCUGGAACACUGCAUUGCUGGCACAAAUUUGACCCAUAUGCUCUGCAACUUUACCAUCCAACAUUAUGCUUGCCUACCUCAGCGUAUGCAGCUAAAACCAGAGCAACUCUCUGAGAUCCUGCAAUGCAAACUGUCAGGCAAUAUGACCUAUCACAAAAAAUUGUGGAAGUUCCCCAAAUAUUCUGCAAUUCUUGAAGAGGCUCUUCAAAGGUUUUCAAACAUUGUAAAAAAACUCAAAAAGAAAGGAGGACCAAGGCACUCUACAUAUACUUAGUUAAAAUGCCUUUAUUUGUAUCCAUGUUCAAUGGAAACAAAGUUUAAAAACUCUGAAGUGUUUCGGCUGCAUGGCCUUUGUCAGAGAGUACAAAGAUAUGAUAGUACUUUUGAACAGCUUCUUUUGAAAUAUAUUCUUUAAGAGUUUUUUGAAUUUGUACUCUUAAAAAAUAUAUAUAAUGUCAGAAGAUUGUGGGUAAAAGUCUUUAUCCAAGAGAACAUCUUCUGAGUUGUCUUUGUGUUCAGUCUUACCAGCCCAGCGGCCCAUCCAUCUCUCUGGUGCUAGAUGUAUUUGGGCAGGUAGUAGUUGACCAGUUUAGUCAGCAUGACCCGAGAAGCCCAAACCACACCCGCAAGUGGUUCCUGAGGAAUCUCCAACCCUUCCUCCUGCAAGCUUCCAGAGAGUUCCUGUCCUGUCUUAGCACCAAGAACUUCACUUGUGGGACCUACCAGAUUUUAGUGGAAGCUCUAGGUCAUCAACCAGCUAAUCCUAACCCAGCUAACUUAGCUAUGGACAGACAAAGACAGCUUUUGAUCUACACUGAUUUCAUUGAUCCCUUCUUGAAGCGCAAUGACACUGAAGACCCCAACUGUGUCAACCACUCAAACAACAGAGCUGACUGGCUUAAAAGUACUUUGGGCUGUUUGUUGGUUUUGCGCCCCUAGAAGAACUCAAACGACUGCAUGGAAACUUCUCAGUGGUGGAUGUCCUGCCUAUGCUGAGCCCCAGGCAGCUGGGGGAGGUGGCCUCCACCCCUGG
rnacentral:lncRNA from 8 species